AGUGAGCUAGUCUCUAGUGAGCUUGUGUGUGUGUGUGUGUGUGUGUGUGUUAGUGAGCAUGUGUGGGUUUAACUUAGCUUGUCUGUUAGUGAGCUUUUGUGGUUGUCACUGAGUUUGUCUGUAGUGAGCUUGUGGGUGUCAGUGAGCCUGCCUGUAGUGAGCUUGUGUAUGUGUGUCACUCAGUUUGUCUGUUGUGAGCUUGUGGGUGUUAAUGAGUUUGUCUGUAGUGAGCUUGUGGGUGUCAGUAAGCUUGCGUGUGUGAGCUUGUGGGUGUUACUGAGCCUGUGUGUGUCAUUGAGUUUGUCUGUAGUGAGCUUGUGGGUGUCACUAAGCUUGUCUCUAGUGAACUUUUGUGUGUGUCAGUGAGCUUGUCUGUAGUGAGCUUGUAGGUGUCUGAGCUUUUCUGUAGUGAACUUGUGGGUGCAAGCCCUAUGCUGUAAUGCAAACGCCGUAUUUUCUCUGAAAAUACAUUGUUUAGAGCAAAAAGCCUGAAGGGAAUGCUACUCACCAGAACAAAUUCAAUAAGCUGUAGUUGUUCUGGUGACUAUAGUGUCCCUUUAAAUGUGUGCCUCUCUAUGAAAAUAGAUGAAGUUGCCAAGAUUGGGGGGCUUGUGAUUAUAUUUUUUUAGACAUGUGAAAUUAAUUUCAUUAAUGAUCAAAUUUAAUCUAAAAUUUAGCCGAUUUGGCAAAU